UUCUGGCACUGUAACUGUUAAAACAUGUAGGUUAUGACCUUAAUCAAUGUCCUGCAAAAAUACUGUAUAUUUGUAUUCAUGAAUAUACCAUAGAUGAGUGUAGAAGUCCGAAGGGAAGGCAUUGAGGGCAUUCCGAUUUAGCAUAUGUUAUAGCCUAUAUCACAACAAGACAGGCUACUCCCUUUUGGAAUGUAACAACGUUUGGUAGAAAAAAGAUUUUAGACUUUGUUUUGAACAUUACUUUAAAGUAUGAGUUGUACAGAGUUGUCUACUCGAGUAUUUGAGUAAUUAAGCAGCUAGAUCAAUUUUCGAGUUUCUACAUCAAGUACUCGUUCAUCCCGCGGAUCUGAAGUUAUACACUAGCUCUGGCGUGCACUCCGUUUUCAGUUAGAGCGCGUGGUAAACAAGAGGAAGUGCUUUGAUAAACCAGACUGUCGAUGUGAUAAAAAUAAACGUGCAGUAAUUGUGAGUUGUAGACGGAUUUGUCAAGGAAUUAGGCCUUCUUGAUUUAAAAAAUAUGUAGGCCUACUUGUGCAAACCCUACAUAAACUGAACUGAGGCCUGACAGCACAGAUGAGGCCAUCCCUUGUGGCAUGUCCACAAAAACAAGUAAAUAGUUGGUGAAAGUAGGUAGAUAGUAGAUAAAACUGUUUAGAACAUUUUUUUUAUGUAUAUAUGUCCUCCAACGGCAGUGUACUGUAUAUUUGCAUAUAUGUUAGAUCUUGGGUAGGCUAUAUUCUUAUUUUGCACGAGGUGAGGUGUGCUGUUAUGAGACAAUAGUUUGUACUUUGGUCUUUCUAGAAAACUGGAUGAACUCUGUGGUUGUUGGUUUGGGAGUGGCAUUAGGUGUGUGUGUUGCUGCGAUGACCCUUCUUAUUGCUUCACAUUUAAAGAGAUCUGUGUGUGAUCACUGCAAAGAGACGACUCCUAAUCAACUGUACUGUAACAACCCUGUGCUAGAGGCACCUCAGAGAAAGAAGAGGGAAGAAAAGAACAAGGACUUGCAAACAGAGGUUGUUUACUAUGAUGUAAAACACCUAAAAUGACAAAGGCUGAAUAUUCAUUCAUUGAGAAGAGUAGUGCAUUUGUGUGUAAUUCAUUUCAUGUUAAAAUAUGCUAUAAAUGCACAGUUUUAAUUACAGCACUGUGGUCCAGAUUAAUGAAACACACUUAUCUAAUAAUGGUCUGCAUUCUUUUUGUUUGUCUUGUUCUCCCCCAUGGUUUUACUGUUAACUCAUUUAUGUCUGCAUUUUAGUAUUGUUACUCGUGCUGAUUCUUUUUUUCCCUUAUGAAGGUGGUCAAUCAAAUUCAACAGUAAAGGGCCCAAUACCAAUGUGGUGGAUGUUUUUUUUUUUUUUUUUUUUUAAGUGUGAUGCUUUGAUAACAUAUGUAUUUAUUUUAUAAGUGUACUGUUAAUUAGAAUAUGACAAAUAAAUAUGAAUUCAGAAAAAUAUGAAUACAUUUAUUUGAAUGAGGAUAUGAAUUGCAAUGCUAACAUGACAAGCUCUACUCAAAUAGUGAAAGCACCUGCUGUUGGAAACGAUUCCUCAGUAGUCAGUCCUGAAUAUACAGUGGGCAUCUGAGGCUGGCCUUAUCCAUUUGGUAAAUGUCUUUGGAGCUGCUGGAAAACCACAAGAUUGUCCACUCAAAGCCAAAAAGUGUAAAGGUUAAACUAAAAUGAAAAUGUUGGAGGCAAAUAGUGAAGCUAUGGUGCAUUAUAUAUGUGAUGUAUGUGAUAUAAUGGCCCUCUUCUGUUUGACUGUGGUGAGGUAGUCCUGACUGUUAUUUCAUAGAACACACUGACUA